rnacentral:rRNA from 1 species
UAUCAAUAAGCGGAGGAAAAGAAACCAACAGGGAUUGCCCUAGUAACGGCGAGUGAAGCGGCAACAGCUCAAAUUUGAAAUCUGGCGCAAGCCCGAGUUGUAAUUUGUAGAGGAUGCUUCAGGGCAGCGGCCGGUCUAAGUUCCUUGGAACAGGACGUCAUAGAGGGUGAGAAUCCCGUAUGCGACCGGUUGGCACCCGUCACGUAGCUCCUUCGACGAGUCGAGUUGUUUGGGAAUGCAGCUCUAAAUGGGAGGUAAAUUUCUUCUAAAGCUAAAUACCGGCCAGAGACCGAUAGCGCACAAGUAGAGUGAUCGAAAGAUGAAAAGCACUUUGGAAAGAGAGUUAAAAAGCACGUGAAAUUGUUGAAAGGGAAGCGCAUGCAACCAGACUUGUCGGCGGUGUUCCGCCGGUCUUCUGACCGGUCCAUUCGCCGCCGACAGGCCAGCAUCAUCUGGGCGCGCCGGAUAAAGGCGUAGGGAAUGUGGCUCCUCGGAGUAUUAUAGCCCCGCGCACAAUACGGCGCCGCUCGGGUGAGGUCCGCGCUUCGGCUAGGAUGCUGGCGUAAUGGUUGUCUGCGGCCCGUCUUGAAACACGGACCAAGGAGUCUAACAUCUAUGCGAGUGUUCGGGCGUCAAACCCCUACGCGUAAUGAAAGUGAACGGAGGUGGGAAGCGCAAGCUGCACCAUCGACCGAUCCUGAUGUCUUCGGAUGGAUUUGAGUAAGAGCAUAGCUGUUGGGACCCGAAAGAUGGUGAACUAUGCCUGAAUAGGGUGAAGCCAGAGGAAACUCUGGUGGAGGCUCGCAGCGGUUCUGACGUGCAAAUCGAUCGUCAAAUUUGGGUAUAGGGGCGAAAGACUAAUCGAACCAUCUAGUAGCUGGUUCCUGC